UUUUUUUCAAGUUUGAAUAAUAAGCAUCCCUUUAUUUGCUGACCGCCAUUACAAAAACUGAUUACAUUAGCAACAAAAGUGUCUUGAGUUGAUGUCAGAGGCAGUUACUCCCCCAAAGUGUUAAGUAAAACAGUGUACAACAUCAGUAUUAAAAUGUUAAAUUUUACAUUGUCUUUACCACUUUGAUCUUCUGAACAAUUGAAUUGAUCAAGGUAAAAUAUUACAAGUUUAUCUUCAGGAAUGUAAAGGUCUAAUUAUUCAAACAGUUUUUAUUAUAAAACUAAAUUCUGAAGGUGUCUACAGAGUUGGUUUCUUUUUAAAUUUUUCUCUUUAAAUCAGUAGUCUAACAAGGAUUAGAAAAGACAAAACUCUGUUCAGUGUUUCUGACAAAGUAGAAAGGGUAAAAACAUAAAUAAGGCUUUAAUUUGGCAAAAUAUAAUACAAUGCCUUCUGCUGUCCUCAACUGAAAUUUCCCAAUUACUUCACUCCAAACCUGGUAGUGUUAUUUCUCCUUUGUGAGCUGUUUACAGCCUGAAGCAACUGCUAUAACUGUGCUAUAGUCUGAUUUAGACUUACAGACAUCGUCUCCUUUUCUGAAGACUCCAUUUCUGGGGAAACAUCACUAUUCUCAAUAACAGUAGUAUCUCCAGAAGCUUGUACUAUUUUUGACUGGAUAAGAUCCAGAAACUGUUGUGCCUUAUCCAAAUCACCAGCUACCUUCUGUCUUUCACUUUGUUCAGUUUUAAUUUUCUUGAGUGUUUUAUUUAACUAUGUCUUCAACAAAUUUAGCUCUUCAUUCUGUCUUACUGCUUCAGAAUAUGAAUCAUCAAGUUUUUUCUGCAAUUCAGUCAACAGAUCUUUCAGCUCUCUCACUUCUGUAACAUAAGUAGACCGUUCAAUUUCUGCCUUCUCUAGUUUCAUUUCCAAAUGCUCUUGCUCUCUUCUCAGCUGCUUAAUUGUCUUCUGUAAUUCAUCCACCUUAACUUUCCAUUUAUUUUCCUCUUCCUCCACACUUUUCUGUAGCUCCUGUAAAAUUCCUUCUGUUUCUGCAAGAACUGAUUUAUACAUAUCACACUCCAGCUGUAAUAGUGUGUGUGUUUCAUCAGCUUCUUUCAACUUAUACUCUAAAACCUUAACUUCUUCUGAACCUGAAGUUCCAGCUAUACACUCUUUUGCUUUCUUUUCAAAUCCAUGCAACCAUUCACUGUAACUCUAAUUAGAAGGGAUAGACACCUUUGGAAAUAAUUUUUUAAGAACUUCUUUAGCUGGGCCGGGGAUUUAGCUCAGUGGUUCUGCCGCCUACAAAGACCUGAGUUUGAUCCUCGGUACAAAAAAAAAAAAAAAAAGAACUUCUUUAGCCUCCAACUCAACAGCUUCCACAUAUUGUCUUUCCUUGGAAGUCUUGUUCACUUUGUCCUGCAGCAUUUUUUCUGUUGAUGCCAGUGCUUCCAUUGCUUCCCAGUUUUUCUCCCGGAGGUCAUUGUUUUUCUUCCUCUGAUGUUCAACAGCAUCCUUCAAAGAAUCUAAUUCAUUCUGGAGACCAGUUCUUUCUUUCUCUCUUUCUGAAAUUACUUUUAAUAAUUCUUCAAUGAAUCUUUUUUUAUUCCCUCUUCCCCUUCUCCCUUCCUGUUCCUCCCAACUCUAGAUCUCCUUCCCAUUUGCAAAAGCUGCAUUUUCCUUUUUUCUUGUAUUCUUUUCCCUUCCUCC
rnacentral:lncRNA from 1 species